rnacentral:rRNA from 1 species
UACAUGCAGUCGAGCGCGGGAGCAGGCAGAUCCUCUUCGGAGGUGACGCCUGUGGAACGCGAGGGGGAUGGGUGAGUAACACGUGGGCAACCUGCCUGUAAGAUUGGGAUAACCCCGGGAAACCGGGGCUAAUACCGGAUAAUACUUUUCGUUGCAUAACGAGAAGUUGAAAGGCGGCUUUUAGCUGUCACUUACAGAUGGGCCCGCGGCGCAUUAGCUAGUUGGUAAGGUAACGGCUUACCAAGGCGACGAUGCGUAGCCGACCUGAGAGGGUGAUCGGCCACACUGGGACUGAGACACGGCCCAGACUCCUACGGGAGGCAGCAGUAGGGAAUCUUCCGCAAUGGACGAAAGUCUGACGGAGCAACGCCGCGUGAGUGAUGAAGGUUUUCGGAUCGUAAAACUCUGUUGUCAGGGAAGAACAAGUGCCGUUCGAAUAGGGCGGCACCUUGACGGUACCUGACCAGAAAGCCCCGGCUAACUACGUGCCAGCAGCCGCGGUAAUACGUAGGGGGCAAGCGUUGUCCGGAAUUAUUGGGCGUAAAGCGCGCGCAGGCGGUCCUUUAAGUCUGAUGUGAAAGCCCACGGCUUAACCGUGGAGGGCCAUUGGAAACUGGAGGACUUGAGUACAGAAGAGGAGAGUGGAAUUCCACGUGUAGCGGUGAAAUGCGUAGAGAUGUGGAGGAACACCAGUGGCGAAAGCGACUCUCUGGUCUGUAACUGACGCUGAGGUGCGAAAGCGUGGGGAGCGAACAGGAUUAG